CGCGCAGGCGGUUUUAUAAGUCAGAUGUGAAAUCUUCCGGCUCAACCGGGAAAGUGCAUUUGAAACUAUAAGACUUGAGUAUGGCAGAGGGAAGUGGAAUUCCUGGUGUAGAGGUGAAAUUCGUAGAUAUCAGGAGGAACACCGGUGGCGAAGGCGACUUCCUGGGCCGAUACUGACGCUGAGGCGCGAAGGCGUGGGGAGCAAACA
rnacentral:rRNA from 1 species